rnacentral:ncRNA from 1 species
GUUUCAGGGCGGAGUGAAAUUCUCCACCGGUGGUAAAGUCCAUGAGCGCAAAGCACUUGCGCCGAUUCGGUGAAAUUCCGAAACCGACGGUAUAGUCCGGAUGAAAGAAU